GGCCCCGUUCCGGCCCCGUUCCGGCCCCUCCGGGCCGCGAUGUCGGACCCCAGCUGCUGGGGGGCCGCUCCCGCCGGUUACCGGGGGCAGCGGGCGGCCGGGGCCCUGCUGCAGCGCUCCAAGAGGUUUGGGCUUUUCCAGCCCUAACAGCGGGGUCCCUCUGGGCAGCUCGGCCCUGUUAUUCACCCCACGGGCAGUGACGAGCGCUGGCUGGCAUCCGACACGCGUUGCCCUACUGCCCUGGAAGGGUUUAGUCACCGACUCUCUGAUCCUUCUCCAAAACACGUCACUCGAUCCCGCAGGACAGGAGCAGGAUGCCCACGGCCCCGUUGCUUGCCCACGGCCAACAUUUCCCCUUCCAGCUCGGGACAUUUUACGAUUCUGCCUCCGGCCCCGGGGGUUAGCAUCACCCCGAGUGCCGGGACAUCACGCUCAGGGCCGGGUGAGGCGUUAUUUCGCUCCGGGGUCACGGCCGCUGUCCCACGCUUCCCGCAUCCUUUGAAAAAAAACAAAACAAAACAAACACUGGAUGGUGA